AGUAACUGCGAGUGAAGCGGGAAAAGCUCAAAUUUAAAAUCUGGCGGCCUCUGGUCGUCCGAGUUGUAAUUUAGAGAAGCGUCUUCCGCGCUGGACCGUGCACAAGUCUCCUGGAAUGGAGCGUCAUAGAGGGUGAGAAUCCCGUCUUUGGCACGGACGCACCAGGGCUUUUGUGAUGCGCUCUCGAAGAGUCGAGUUGUUUGGGAAUGCAGCUCAAAAUGGGUGGUGAACUCCAUCUAAAGCUAAAUAUUGGCGAGAGACCGAUAGCGAACAAGUACCGUGAGGGAAAGAUGAAAAGCACUUUGGAAAGAGAGUGAAACAGUACGUGAAAUUGUUGAAAGGGAAACGCUUGAAGUCAGUCGCGUCGACCGAGACUCAGCCUUGCCUUGGCUCGGUGUAYUUCUCGGYCGACGGGUCAGCAUCAAUUUUGCCCCUCGGAUAAUGGCGAGAGAAAGGUGGCACCCUCACCGGUGUGUUAUAGUCUCCCGUCGGAUGCGAGGGUCGGG
rnacentral:rRNA from 1 species